rnacentral:misc_RNA from 1 species
AGUUUGCGUGAGGGAUAGAAGUGGAAAGUCCACAGCCUGACGAAGGAAGAGCGAGGACUUGCAACGGAUAGCCCGACCCGGA